rfam:Struthio camelus australis contig36944, whole genome shotgun sequence.
UGUAAACAUCCCCGACUGGAAGCUGUAAGAGCAGGUCUAGCUUUCAGUCAGAUGUUUGCU